AAAAAAUAAACAAAUAAAUUGAACAUUGCUUAUUUUUUAUUUGGGGGAAAGGUUGAGAUAAGAUGCAUAGCUAUAAAAAGAACCACUAGUGAUUAUUUCCCGUUUCCUCGAACUAGCUGCUGAUCGUUUCGUACCUUGGUUCGCUUUCGACAUGCCUGAGACAGCAAAGUCCGCUCCCACCCCGAAGAAGGGCUCCAAGAAGGCGGUGACCAAGGCGCAGAAGGACGGCAAGAAGAGCAAGCGCAGCCGCAAGGAGAGCUACUCCAUGUACGUGUACAAGGUGCUGAAGCAGGUGCACCCCGACACCAGCAUCUUCUAGAAGGCCAUGGGCAUCAUGAACUCCUUCGUCAACGACAUCUUUGAGCGCAUCGUGGGCAAGGCUUCCCGCCUGGUGCAUUGCAACAAGCCCUCGACCAUCACCUCCAAGGAGAUCCAGACGGCCGUGCUCCUGCUGCUGGCUGGGGAGCUGGCCAAGCAAGCCGUGUCGGAGGGCACCAAGGCCGUAAGUAAACUUGCCAUGGAGGGACAUUUUCUGGAAUUUCCUGAUCUGAUCAAGAAAACUUCUUACCAAAAAAAAAAAGCACAAAUGCUUUCUGUUACCUCAUUAUCUACUGCAGAAAAGACAACUGAGGAAUGCAACCACACCUGGAUGGACUUUUCCACAAGAUAAAGCUGGCUUCUUGGUCUCAUUUAGAUUUCAAAGAGAAUCAUUUACAAGUUAAUUUCUGUCUCCCUGGUUCAUUCCUUCUUGCUUAUAAUCAUUCGCUGUUCCUCAAAUAAUUGUAUACAUUACCCAUCUCCUCUUUUGCCUCUGAGAAAGGGUAUAUAAGCUUCUGUACCACACCGAGGGGUUGGAGUAAUCAUUCUGUGGCCCCCAGCCCUGUACAUUAAAUUUGUAUGCCUUU